UUCAGAAAUGACAUCACUUCCUCCUGACAGAUAUGAAACACUUGUCUAAGGUCAUCUAAAUUUCUUUAGUGUCUGAAGGCAAAAUGACUUCAUCCAUCACAACGUGGGCGUAUUUUUUAUUUUGGGCAGCAGGUGUUUCUGAGUCUGUCCUGAUCUCUCAGUGGCCCCGAUACAUCUACAGUACUGCUGGUGAUCAUGCAGAAAUAAACUGUUACCAAAACGACACCGAUUAUGAUUAUGUGUACUGGUACAGACAGCUUAGAGGAGGAGAAAUUCAGCUUAUUGUGUACUUGGUAGCUGGCACUACAAACUUUGAGGCAGACUUUAAUUCUGGCUUUAAGGCAGCGCAAUCUCAGAAGAAGCAAUGGUCUCUGUCUAUACCCAGCAUUCAAAAGAAAGAUGAAGCUGUGUAUCUGUGUGCUGCCAGUCUCACAGUGCAGCAGCAGACCCGAUGA